GAGAUUAAAUUUGAACUUUAUGGCGGCAUGCCUUACACAUGCAAGUCGAACGGCAGCACGGGAGCUUGCUCCUGGUGGCGAGUGGCGAACGGGCAUUGUAAUACAUCGGAACGUACCCAGUAGUGGGGGAUAACGCACCGAAAGGUGCGCUAAUACCGCAUACGACCUAAGGGUGAAAGCGGGGGACCGUAAGGCCUCGCGCUAUUGGAGCGGCCGAUGUCUGAUUAGCUAGUUGGUGAGGUAAAGGCUCACCAAGGCUUCGAUCAGUAGAUUAGGUCUGAGAGGACGAUCAGCCACACUGGGACUGAGACACGGCCCAGACUCCUACGGGAGGCAGCAGUGGGGAAUUUUGGACAAUGGGCGAAAGCCUGAUCCAGCAAUGCCGCGUGUGCGAAGAAGGCCGGGUUGUAAAGCACUUUUGUCAGGGAAGAAAUCAUUUUAGGCUAAUACCUUGGAAGGAUCAACGGUACCUGAGAAUAAGCACCGGCUAACUACGUGCCAGCAGCCGCGGUAAUACGUAGGGUUUUAUAAGCGUUAAUCGGAAUUACUGGGCGUAAAGCGUGCGCAGGCGGUUUGUUAAGACAGUCGUGAAAUCCCCGGGCUUAACCUGGGAACUGCGAUUGUGACUGGCAAGCUAGAGUACGGCAGAGGGUUGUAGAAUUCCUGGUGUAGCAGUGAAAUGCGUACAUAUCAGGAGGAAUACCGAUGGCGAAGGCAGCCCCCUGGGCGAUAGUACUGACGCUCAUGCACGAAAGCGUGGGGAGCAAACAGGAUUAGAUACCCUGGUAGUCCACGCCCUAAACGAUGUCAAUUAGUUGUAUUCCUUUAUUGGAUUAGUAACGUAGCUAACGCGUGAAAUUGACCGCCUGGGGAGUACGGUCGCAAGAUUAAAACUCAAAGGAAUUGACGGGGACCCGCACAAGCGGUGGAUGAUGUGGAUUAAUUCGAUGCAACGCGAAAAACCUUACCUACCCUUGACAUGGUCGGAAUCCCGCAGAGAUGUGGGAGUGCUCGAAAGAGAACCGGCACACAGGUGCUGCAUGGCUGUCGUCAGCUCGUGUCGUGAGAUGUUGGGUUAAGUCCCGCAACGAGCGCAACCCUUGUCAUUAGUUGCUACGAAAGGGCACUCUAAUGAGACUGCCGGUGACAAACCGGAGGAAGGUGGGGAUGACGUCAAGUCCUCAUGGCCCUUAUGGGUAGGGCUUCACACGUCAUACAAUGGUCGGUACAGAGGGCUGCCAACCCGUAAGGGGGAGCCAAUCCCUUAAAACCGAUCGUAGUCCGGAUUGAGGUCUGCAACUCGACCUCAUGAAGUCGGAAUCGCUAGUAAUCGCGGAUCAGCAUGUCGCGGUGAAUACGUUCCCGGGUCUUGUACACACCGCCCGUCACACCAUGGGAGCGGGUUUUACCAGAAGUAGCUAGCCUAACCGUAAGGAGGGCGGUUACCACGGUAGGAUUCCAGUUAUA
rnacentral:rRNA from 1 species